UGGGGAAUAUUGCACAAUGGGCGCAAGCCUGAUGCAGCCAUGCCGCGUGUAUGAAGAAGGCCUUCGGGUUGUAAAGUACUUUCAGCGGGGAGGAAGGUGUUGUGGUUAAUAACCUCAGCAAUUGACGUUACCCGCAGAAGAAGCACCGGCUAACUCCGUGCCAGCAGCCGCGGGAAUACGGAGGGUGCAAGCGUUAAUCGGAAUUACUGGGCGUAAAGCGCACGCAGGCGGUCUGUCAAGUCGGAUGUGAAAUCCCCGGGCUCAACCUGGGAACUGCAUCCGAAACUGGCAGGCUUGAGUCUUGUAGAGGGGGGUAGAAUUCCAGGUGUAGCGGUGAAAUGCGUAGAGAUCUGGAGGAAUACCGGUGGCGAAGGCGGCCCCCUGGACAAAGACUGACGCUCAGGUGCGAAAGCGUGGGGAGCAAACA
rnacentral:rRNA from 1 species